AAAGCGGCAACAGSUCAAAUUUGAAAUCUKGCCUCUUCGKGGUCCGAGUUGUAAUUUGUAGAGGGUGUUUCGGGCGCGAUGCCGGUCUAAGUUCCUUGGAACAGGACGUCGCAGAGGGUGAGAAUCCCGUACGCGACCGGCGAUCAAGCCUGUGUGAAGCCCCUUCGACGAGUCGAGUUGUUUGGGAAUGCAGCUCAAAAUGGGUGGUAAAUUUCAUCUAAAGCUAAAUAUUGGCCAGAGACCGAUAGCGGACAAGUAGAGUGAUCGAAAGAUGAAAAGCACUUUGGAAAGAGAGUCAAACAGUACGUGAAAUUGUUGAAAGGGAAGCGCUUGCAAUCAGACCGGUCCGGAGGCGAUCAGCCGCUGCUCGUUCAGCGGUGCACUCGCCUGCGAUCCGGCCAGCAUCRGUUUGGGCGGUGGGAUAAAAGUCCCGGGAAUGUAGCUUCUCUCGGGGASUSUUAUAGCCCGGGUCGCAAUGCCGCCCGCCCGGACCGAGGACCGCG
rnacentral:rRNA from 1 species